rnacentral:rRNA from 1 species
AUUGAACGCUGGCGGCAUGCUUUACACAUGCAAGUCGAACGGUAACAGGCCUUCGGGCGCUGACGAGUGGCGAACGGGUGAGUAAUGCAUCGGAACGUGCCCAGUCGUGGGGAUAACGCAGCGAAAGCUGUGCUAAUACCGCAUACGAUCUGCGGAUGAAAGCGGGGGACCUUCGGGCCUCGCGCGAUUGGAGCGGCCGAUGUCAGAUUAGGUAGUUGGUGGGGUAAAGGCGCACCAAGCCAACGAUCUGUAGCUGGUCUGAGAGGACGACCAGCCACACUGGGACUGAGACACGGCCCAGACUCCUACGGGAGGCAGCAGUGGGGAAUUUUGGACAAUGGGCGCAAGCCUGAUCCAGCAAUGCCGCGUGCAGGAAGAAGGCCUUCGGGUUGUAAACUGCCUUUGUACGGAGCGAAAAGGCUCCCUCUAAUACAGGGGGCUCAUGACGGUACCGUAAGAAUAAGCACCGGCUAACUACGUGCCAGCCGCCGCUGUAAAAC